CAGUCGCCGCGGUAAUACGAAGGGUGCAAGCGUUAAUCGGAAUUACUGGGCGUAAAGCGUGCGUAGGCGGUUUGUUAAGUCUGUUGUGAAAUCCCCGGACUCAACCUGGGAAUGGCAAUGGAUACUGGCAAGCUAGAGUGUGUCAGAGGAUGGUGGAAUUCCCGGUGUAGCGGUGAAAUGCGUAGAGAUCGGGAGGAACAUCAGUGGCGAAGGCGGCCAUCUGGGACAACACUGACGCUGAGGCACGAAAGCGUGGGGAGCAAACAGGAUUAGAUACCCGCGUAGUCCCUGUCUCUUAUAC
rnacentral:rRNA from 1 species